UAAUACCGGCGCCUCAAGUGGUCGUCGCUUUUAUUGGGCCUAAAACGUCCGUAGCCGGUUUGGUACAUUCGUGGGUAAAUCAGCUCGCUCAACGAGUUGAAUUCUGCGAGGACGGCCAGACUAGGGACCGGGAGAGGUGUGGGGAACUCUCAGGGUAGGGGUAAAAUCCUGUCAUCCUGAGAGGACCACCUGUUGCGAAGGCGCCACACUAGAACGGAUCCGACGGUCAGGGACGAAGCCUAGGGGCACGAACCGGAUUAGAUACCCGGGUAGUCCUAGGUGUAAACGCUGUGGACUUGGUGUUGGGGAAGCCCAGAGCUUUCCCAGUGCCGUAGCGAAGGUGUUGAGUCCACUGCCUGGGGAGUACGGUCGCAAGGCUG
rnacentral:rRNA from 1 species